rnacentral:ncRNA from 1 species
GGGUCUCGUCCGGGGUGCCGGGCGGGUGAGAGAAACCCUCGGAACCUGAUGCGGGUCAUGCCGCCGUAGGGAAGCGUCGCGCGACACAC